rnacentral:ncRNA from 1 species
AUACAAUCUUUACCACCUCCAGCUUGUCAAGAAUAAACCCCAUUAGCCCCUCUCAAUCUUUCUAUAUGCUGGAAACUCUCACGAGGCUUAAGUACUUAAAGAUUCUUUUAUAAUCAAGAAGUAAAAAUCUUAAGUAUAUCUAGAUAAUCAGCAGGAAACCCACGGAUAAUAUUAUCUUAGUGGGAUCCUCAGAGACUACACGAAAGAAAAGUUAUACAGGAAGUUCCUGUAUAGCUUAAGAUAUAGUCCACGUUUAUAUGAUAAUAAAUU